GUUUUCUCCAACACCCACGAGCCUUUCGUAUCCUGCUAUCGCCCCUUGUUUUUUCUCCCCUUCCAAAUCCCAGCCACGGCCUGUCGAUCUCGCCGACGAUCCUCCUCGAUCGCGAUUCAUCCGUGCUGAUGGAUACGUGCUUAAGCCGCCGCGUUGAGCUCGCCGCCUUGCCACUUCGACCGUGACACCCCGCUAUGUCAUGCUCGUCGCCCCGCCGCUUCGACCUCGACACCUAGCAGCUUCGCCGCCGCCGCAUCGGCCUUGCCGACCCGCCGCCUCUUGCUGCAAAUAGAUCGACACUGUAGGUGGAUCCAUUGAAGUUCGCUCUCAUCGUCCUUGCAGAGGGGGUUGGGGGAGGGGAUUUGUCUUCCUCGGCGAUGAAACAGAAGUAUCCAGCUAGAUCGACUCAGAUUUCAAUCAGGAAGACCUAGUGGAGGUUUGAAGAGAAGGGGGAUCGAUCAUUGAGCUCAUCAUCCGCCAGCCAAUAGGGUUCGUCUCCAAUCUCCGAUUUUCAUAUGCUCCACAUGAUUUCUUUUCUGUUAAUUCAUAAGUUUCUCCCAAGGUGCGGGAGCCGGAGCUGCAAAUCUAAGAGCGAGGUGGUGUGGGCAUUCAAGGCCGAGCAGCACCAACUUCUACUAGGUGAGUUCAUCUUCUGAUCUGUGCCCACAUAUUUUCCUUUUUAUGAGGCUUACCAUAUAGUAAGGAAGGUGAGAUAUGUAAUAUACCUUUUGUUUUUGUUAAUGUGAAUGUAUAAUCAUCAUCUAGCAUAUAUAAUCGAAUAUAUUAGCUACUAAUGUAUAUUCAGCUUAAGUUUGUUAUAUGAGUUAAUCGUGAUCAUAUAUAUAGCA